UAUACAAUACAUUUUUCGACUCGAAUAAGACGCACACGACAUAUUACUGUUAUCUGGUCGUGCCGCAGAAGAUAUGUCUAUAAUCUAAGCACACAUUCACAUUUAGUCAAAUAUAAUUAUAAUCAGCAGUUGACUAAUCACUAUUAGUGUAAAUGAUGAAUGGUUUUACUCAUAUCGAAAGCAAAAGUGCCACACCCGAUUAUUUUUGUUUGCUCGCUGUGUGCUUUAUAGGUCUAUGAUUAUAUUAAAUAAUUUUUUAGUUGUAAGACUCCAAGAAGUAUUUAUAUUAUUGUAUCGUACUCACAAAUAGCAGUGCCAUUUUUUUUAUAUCCAUUGUAACCGAGAAGAUCCUCAAGACAAAUGUAUUAUUAUGUUUAGCACAGGGUCAACUAACCUUUGCUAAUAUAGCGUGUAUAGUAAAUUGUUUGUGUCACAACUAUUAUCAGGAUAAGAUUUUAGCAAUGCAAAAUACGAAGCAAAUUCCGGAACCCAGUCAAUGUGAACCUGCUAAAUACGAAUAUAAGAAAUCGUCGUAUGCGGACAUUUAUGAUGUGCUACAAUCCCUACGCAGAGAUGAGGUUCUUUGUGAUAUUAAACUAGAAACAGACAAUGGUGGAGUUAUAUUCGGCCACAAAGUAGUUCUAGCAUCGGCUAGUCCAUAUUUCCAUGCAAUGUUCACAAAUUUUUCAGAAAAAAAUCAAGAUCUAGUUACUAUCAGACAGUUGGACUAUAGUGCCCUACAGCUCUUAAUAGACUUUAUUUAUUCUGGAAAAAUCUCGAUCACUGAAACAAAUGUACAGAUUUUGUUGCCUGCAUCGAAUCUUUUGCAGUUACAAGAAGUCAAAAACGCAUGUUGUGAUUUUCUGCAGGCACAACUAUGUCCUACAAAUGUUAUUGGGAUAAAUGAUUUAGCUGAUUUACAUAGCUGUACGACAUUGUUAACAAGCUCAGAAUUUUAUAUUCAACAACACUAUUUAGAUGUGGUAGAAGAGGAAGAAUUUCUGUCCUUGUCAUCGGAACAAAUGGUUAAGUUGAUCUCUAGUGAUGAACUUACAGCUUCAUCUGAAGAAAAAAUAUUUGAAAGUGUUAUUCGAUGGGUUAAACAUGAUUUGGAUUCCAGAAAACAAAUGUUGCCCCAAUUAAUGGAACAUGUGCGUUUACCAUUAACAUCGAAAGAUUACAUAUUAAAAAAUGUAGUUGACGAACCUCUUCUUCUUAAUUGUUCUAAAUGUAAAGAUUACGUAUUUGAAGCAUUACGUUUUCGUUUACUUAAAUCAGAAGAACUUAUCACAAUUCCACAUAACAUCCGGACAAAACCUAGACAGCCUGGUGGUUAUUUUAGUGGCUGGAGGACUAGGGAUCAAUCACAGCAUUUUAAAUAGUACAGAAUGGUAUGACCCAAAAAUCAACAAAUGGCAGUAUGGACCAAAAAUGAUUACACCCAGUUUGGGUGGUGGUCUAGCUGUAGUUGGUGGCAGUGAUGGCGAACAUUUUUUAAUCAGUGCAGAAGUGUUUGACUGCAGGACUCGAGAAUGGAAUACGAUACCUAAUAUGUCUACUAUGCGUGCUGGUCACGGCCUUGGA
rnacentral:misc_RNA from 1 species